CGGGUGGUAAUGCCGGAUGCUCCAUCAUACCGCAUGGUGUGUUGGGAAAGCCUUUGCGGCAUGGGAUGGGGUCGCGUCCUAUCAGCUUGAUGGCGGGGUAACGGCCCACCAUGGCUUCGACGGGUAGCCGGCCUGAGAGGGCGACCGGCCACAUUGGGACUGAGAUACGGCCCAGACUCCUACGGGAGGCAGCAGUGGGGAAUAUUGCACAAUGGGCGCAAGCCUGAUGCAGCGACGCCGCGUGAGGGAUGGAGGCCUUCGGGUUGUAAACCUCUUUUGUUAGGGAGCAAGGCAUUUUGUGUUGAGUGUACCUUUCGAAUAAGCACCGGCUAACUACGUGCCAGCAGCCGCGGUAAUACGUAGGGUGCAAGCGUUAUCCGGAAUUAUUGGGCGUAAAGGGCUCGUAGGCGGUUCGUCGCGUCCGGUGUGAAAGUCCAUCGCUUAACGGUGGAUCCGCGCCGGGUACGGGCGGGCUUGAGUGCGGUAGGGGAGACUGGAAUUCCCGGUGUAACGGUGGAAUGUGUAGAUAUCGG
rnacentral:rRNA from 1 species